GAGAGACACAGGGAUUGCCUCAGUAACGGCGAGUGAAGCGGCAUCAGCUCAAAUUUGAAAUCUGGCCUCACGGCCCGAGUUGUAAUUUGUAGAGAAUGCUUCGGGCGAGGUCCGGUCUAAGUUCCUUGGAACAGGACGUCAUAGAGGGUGAGAAUCCCGUAUGCGACCGGUCGCCUCCGCCCAUGUGAAGCUUCUUCGACGAGUCGAGUUGUUUGGGAAUGCAGCUCAAAAUGGGUGGUAUAUUUCAUCUAAAGCUAAAUACUGGCCAGAGACCGAUAGCGCACAAGUAGAGUGAUCGAAAGAUGAAAAGCACUUUGGAAAGAGAGUUAAACAGUACGUGAAAUUGUUGAAAGGGAAGCGCUUGCAACCAGACUUGCGCGCAGCCGAUCAUCCGGUGUUCUCACCGGUGCACUCGGUUGCGCUCAGGCCAGCAUCGGUUCCGGCGGUUGGAUAAAGGCCUUGGGAAUGUAGCUCCCCUCGGGGAGUGUUAUAGCCCUCGGUGCAAUGCAGCCUGCCGGGACCGAGGACCGCGCUUCGGCUAGGAUGCUGGCGUAAUGGUUGUAAGCGACCCGUCUUGAAACACGGACCAAGGAGUCUAACAUCUAUGCGAGUGUUUGGGCGUCAAACCCAUACGCGUAAUGAAAGUGAACGGAGGUGAGAACCCUUAAGGGUGCAUCAUCGACCGAUCCUGAUGUCUUCGGAUGGAUUUGAGUAAGAGCAUAGCUGUUGGGACCCGAAAGAUGGUGAACUAUGCCUGAAUAGGGUGAAGCCAGAGGAAACUCUGGUGGAGGCUCGCAGCGGUUCUGACGUGCAAAUCGAUCGUCAAAUUUGGGUAUAGGGGCGAAAGACUAAUCGAACCAU
rnacentral:rRNA from 1 species